rnacentral:rRNA from 1 species
GAUGAACGCUGGCGGCGUGCCUAAUACAUGCAAGUCGAGCGAACAGACGAGGAGCUUGCUCCUCUGACGUUAGCGGCGGACGGGUGAGUAACACGUGGAUAACCUACCUAUAAGACUGGGAUAACUUCGGGAAACCGGAGCUAAUACCGGAUAAUAUAUUGAACCGCAUGGUGCAAUAGUGAAAGACGGUUUUGCUGUCACUUAUAGAUGGAUCCGCGCCGCAUUAGCUAGUUGGUAAGGUAACGGCUUACCAAGGCAACGAUGCGUAGCCGACCUGAGAGGGUGAUCGGCCACACUGGAACUGAGACACGGUCCAGACUCCUACGGGAGGCAGCAGUAGGGAAUCUUCCGCAAAGGGCGAAAGCCUGACGGAGCAACGCCGCGUGAGUGAUGAAGGUCUUCGGAUCGUAAAACUCUGUUAUUAGGGAAGAACAAAUGUGUAAGUAACUAUGCACGUCUUGACGGUACCUAAUCAGAAAGCCACGGCUAACUACGUG